GAAUCUUUUCCACCACCAUUUUCUUCACUUUCACUUUUUAAUCAUCAUCCUCAUUCCUCCCUCAUCAAAUCACACCAACCAAACACGGCGUUAUCGCAUUGCUUCUCCCAAAGCAGGAGAGAGAAAAGUUCCGUCGUAAAUUAUUGAUUCUAGAAUAUCAUCAAAUGGUAGAAUCCGAAGACUUAAUUUCGCCCCAAUUUCCUCCAUCGAUUUUCAUUUCUUCGUUUAAUUUGACAUAAGUAAACCUUUGAGCUGAAAAUCGCCGGAAAUUGGACGAAUUUGGGCGAAUCUUUUUGAUAUUUUGAGGAAUUUUUAGUCGGGGUUUGAUUAUCGAUAGAAUUAGGGUUUUUGCCACAACAUGUCUGCAAUAGUGUGUGGGAAGAGAUCGUCAAUUUUCGAGGAAAUUCCAUCGCCAUCUUCGAAGCGAAUUCGCUUUUCUUCUACUUCUCCGGUUCGCUUCGCUGGUUCGCCUUUAUUCUUGAUUGAUCACCUUAUCGCUAUUUUUCCUCACAUGGAUAUGAAGCUUAUUGAGCAAGCACUUGAGAACAGUGGACAUGAUUUGGACCUGGCAAUCAAAAGUUUGACUGACCUCCGAUUAGGAUCUGCUGAAAAUGUCCCCAGUACCACCUAUACGUCUUCAGACACCCAUCCACUACCAAAUAAUCAGCCACAAGUACAUGGUGAUGAAGGUGGAUCCACAAGAGACCCGUUAUUAUCCGAAAAUUUGCCUAUAGAUGGUGCUCAGUGGGUGGAUCUUUUUGUAAAAGAAAUGUCUACUGCUUCUGAUGUAGAGGAUGCAAAAAUUCGUGCAUCAAGAGCUCUUCAGGCUUUUGAGAAAACUAUAUGUGCUCGUGCAAAAGCAGAUGCAGCACAAAAUUUCCAGCAGGAGAAUUCAGUGCUGAAAGAGCAAGUUCAAGCUCUACUUCAGGAAAAUGGAAUUCUUAAACGUGCUGUGUCUAUCCAACAUGAACGUCAGAAAGAGUUUGAAGCCAAGUCACAAGAAGUGCAACAACUGAAGCAGCUUCUGUCCCAGUGCCAAGAACAUAUAAGAACACUAGAGAUUUCCGAGAUAAAAUUCAAACACCGCUUCAACUACUGUCUUAAGAGUGAAGAUCUUCUGCAACUUCUGGACUAGAGUUGGCAAACGUGCCGUGUCGGGUCGUGUUCGUGUCGAAUAUAGACGGGUUGGAAAAGUCUCAACACUAAUCCGACCCAUUUAAUAAACGUGUCGUGUCGUGUUGACCCGUUUAACUAAUCGUGUCAUAAUCUCUUGACACUAAUCCGUUUUUUCGUGUCCGGUUAACAACUACGCUUUGGCGAUGCACUUGAAGCAGGCUGAAGCAAAUAAUUCUAUACCUGGUCGUUUCAAUCCUGAUAUCUUUUAAGAAUACAGCUUUGUAAAUGCACAUUGUAACUUAAUGUAUUGUCUUUGCAAGCAUUAGUUCUGCUCGGUCGAAGUAUGUAGUCUUGACUAUUUUCAAGAUGUAGAUUUAAUUUUAUAUUCCGUAGCUGAUUGUACCAAAUCUGAUGUAUCAGUAACUAAGCGUAUUUGAUUGCAUGAAACCCCUAAAUAGUUGAUGACUUGUGCAAAAUGGUAUUGCAUUUUUGGAUCUAAA